CCGAGUACCCAAACACACGUAACUAAUACGCCAAUCCCCGUACUCCACUACCGCGUCCUCCUCCUCCCCGUCCAAUUCUGUCCUCCUCCCUCCCGUGCAUAAUGGCGACGAGUCUACGGUACGCCGCCGCGGUGGCCUACCAGACCCGCGUAGGGCGGCGCGGGGGCUGAUGGGGGGCGACGGGUGGCGGCUGCGGGCCUGCGGCGGCGGAAGGAGGGUGGCACUUAUCGGGGCUCGGCCACCAUCCGGUGCCGGUGUCAUCCUCAGCAGCGAUCACCCUAAAUCGGGUUUCAAGAGCCAGAUUAAGGGAUCUGUUGCCAUCUUCGAAAAAUACAGAUUUUUGCAGACAGUAUAAUGUCUUUUAGAAGAGCAGUAAACAUUUGCUCAUGGAAAUAUAGCCUUACAUUUUAAUAUCUUUCAAAAUGUAAGGCACGGUUUGACCCGAUGCGGUCUCCAAGGUUACACUUUGACCAUUAAUAUCUCUUAUAUUACAUUGCUCAUGACCAUAAAAUUGACACCAUAUGAAAAUACUUUCAAAUAUGUACCCAAUGGUACUAAAUGUGUAUCAUAUAAUCUGCAAAAAAUUUAGGCUAAUUGUUGGUCAAAGUUAAAAAGUUUGAAUCUUGAAAUGCGUGCAUGCCUUGUAAAAAUAAAUGGAGGGAGUACUUUAGAUGUAGUUAUGAAAAGCAAUUUCUAUUGACUUCCGUAUGUGUAGUUUGUCCUUUAUUUCACUGAAUCUUUCAUUGAUUGUGAUGCCUGGCAGUUCCAUUCAAGCCUCAAGCUGACCAUCGAAAGUAGCUGAAUUUGAAUCACAUUGCUUGAUAGAUCUUAAUCCCC